AUGGAUCAAUUUAUUGAAUCAUAAACAACAAUAUAAAUUUUGUGGUUUUUAGCCUAGUAAGUGUAUGCAUUUGAGUUCUCUUUUAUUAGCUUAUUCCUUUUGGUGUUGGUAUGCAAUUACAAUUUUCCCCUUCUUUUCUGCAGGUCUAUUAAUCAGAUACAUAGUAAUCCUGUAAUAUUAAAGUUGAUGCCUUCAGUUGUCAUUAUCAUUUUUGCAACAUGGGGUGUUGGUCCAUUAGCAUGUCAGAUAAGGAAAUUGCUUUUCCAAAGGAGUGAUAAUAGUUGGAAGAAAAGUAAAACACAUUAUAUAGUAACUUCUUACAUUCGGCCAUUACUUUUAUGGACUGGAGCAAUACUCUUUUGCAAAGCAUUGGAACCAGUAAUUCUACCUACAGAAACUAGACAGGUAAUUAAGGAACAGCUUCUGCAUUUUGUAAGAUCAUUGUCAACUGUUUUGACCUUUGCCUAUUGUUUAUCAAGGUAUGCCGAUUCACUUGCUUUUGUCAUGAUCUAUUAACACUGCUGAACAAUUUGAUCACUAUUCACUUAAUAAUGCACCUAAUCACUUCCAGUUGAAAUAACUUGUGCUUAACUGCUUAUGCCCAUUGGGGUUUUCUCUAUUGGACUAUUAAACUGUAUGUUUUCCAACAUAUCAUUAUUGUCAGCUUGAGUUCCUUAAUAUGAUUUUUUUUUCAAAAUAAUCUGUUUACUAAGUUUUGC